UCACGUUUAGCUUAACUGGAAGAGUUGCCUGUCUGCAGCGGGAAACAAAGGUUCGAUUCCUUUAACGUGAG
rnacentral:tRNA from 1 species